rnacentral:rRNA from 1 species
AAGCUCACGCAGCCAGACUUGUCGGCGGUGUUCCGCCGGUCUUCUGACCGGUCUAUUCGCCGCCGGCAGGCCAGCAUCACUUGGGAGCGCCGGAUAAAGGCGUGCGGAAUGUAGCCCCUCGGGGCAUUAUAGCCGCGCGCACAAUACGGCGCCUCCCGAGUGAGGUCCGCGCUUCGGCUAGGAUGCUGGCGUAAUGGUUGCUUGAGG